UUCCGGUUGAUCCUGCCGGACCUGACUGCUAUCGGAUUGAUACUAAGCCAUGCGAGUCUUUGUAGUAAUACAAGGCAGACGGCUCAGUAACGCGUAGUCAACCUACCCUAUGGACGGGAAUAAUCUCGGGAAACUGAGGAUAAUACCCGGCGUACCACCAUUCCUGGAAUGGUUGGUGGUUAAAAUGAUUCGUCGCCGUAGGAUGGGACUGCGACCUAUCAGCUUGUUGGUGAGGUAAAGGCCCACCAAGGCGAUUACAGGUACGGGCUCUGAGAGGAGAAGCCCGGAGAUGGGUACUGAGACACGGACCCAGGCCCUAUGGGGCGCAGCAGGCGAGAAAACUUUGCAAUGUGCGAAAGCACGACAAGGUUAAUCCGAGUGAUUUCUGCUAAAGGAAUCUUUUGCCAGUUCUAAAAAUACUAGUGAAUAAGGGGUGGGCAAGUUCUGGUGUCAGCCGCCGCGGUAAAACCAGCACCUCAAGUGGUCAGGAGGAUUAUUGGGCCUAAAGCAUCCGUAGCCUGCUCUGUAAGUUUUCGGUUAAAUCUAUAUGCUCAACGUAUAGGCUGCCGAAAAUACUGCAGUGCUAGGAAGUGGGAGAGGUAGACGGUACUUGAUAGGAAGGGGUAAAAUCCUUUGAUCUAUCGAUGACCACCUGUGGCGAAGGCGGUCUACCAGAACACGUUCGACGGUGAGGGAUGAAAGCUGGGGGAGCAAACCGGAUUAGAUACCCGGGUAGUCCCAGCUGUAAACGAUGCAGACUCGAUGAUGCAUUGGCAUAUAGCCAGUGCAGUGUCGCAGGGAAGCCGUUAAGUCUGCCGCCUGGGAAGUACGUACGCAAGUAUGAAACUUAAAGGAAUUGGCGGGGGAGCACCACAAGGGGUGAAGCCUGCGGUUCAAUUGGAUUCAACGCCGGG
rnacentral:rRNA from 1 species